GACGAACGCUGGCGGCGUGCUUAACACAUGCAAGUCGAGCGGUAAGGCCUUUCGGGGUACACGAGCGGCGAACGGGUGAGUAACACGUGGGUGAUCUGCCCUGCACUUCGGGAUAAGCCUGGGAAACUGGGUCAAAUACCGGAUAUGACCUCCUAUCGCAUGGUGGGUGGUGGAAAGAUUUAUCGGUGCAGGAUGGGCCCGCGGCCUAUCAGCUUGUUGGUGGGGUAAUGGCCUACCAAGGCGACGACGGGUAGCCGACCUGAGAGGGUGACCGGCCACACUGGGACUGAGACACGGCCCAGACUCCUACGGGAGGCAGCAGUGGGGAAUAUUGCACAAUGGGCGAAAGCCUGAUGCAGCGACGCCGCGUGAGGGAUGACGGCCUUCGGGUUGUAAACCUCUUUCAGCAGGGACGAAGCGCAAGUGACGGUACCUGCAGAAGAAACACCGGCUAACUACGU
rnacentral:rRNA from 1 species